CGAUAGGUCAAGAACCUUACAGAGACAUUUUAGCCACUUGGCAAACUCAAUUCUUGGCCUGAAUAUUGAACUCAAGCACUGUCAAUCAACCAUGAGAUGUCCCUGUGGAAUGUAUUCUCACCAGAUUGUGGAGGGUAUGAAAGCUGAAUUUUACAAGUUAGACAUGGCAGCUGCCUCUUUGAAAGCUGUGGGUGAGCUAAACAUUUUGUUUACCUGGAUGGAAAGACACUUCCUGAUUUGAGAGAAGAAGUCAAAAUAUCUGCACUUUAUUCCCGUACCCUUUUUAUACUUUCUUUCUUUUUUUUUUUAUUAUUGAUUAACUUCAUGGCAAAAGGUUAAGGUUAAGCAUAUACCUUUAUAUUAUGGCUGCUAUGGCAAUUGUUCUGUCAUUAAGGGGUCGGUGUAAAUAUAUUUUAAU